UGGUAGCUUUAGCGUAGCGUAGCGUAAGUUCUACCAGGAAACUCGAAUGUUACGUCAUUCAUGUCACAAGGCGCAAUCAAUCACCCCUGAUACUGAGAGUAUAUAAGCCUCGUACUCACCUGUCUUUGCGUUCGCAGAUACUGAUGCCAGCAUUAACAAGCUCGAUGUUCAGUGCAUAUGUACACUAAAGUGUUAGUUACCUGUUGUAACACGCCGAUUCAAAUGUUGAGUGAUUUUAUCGUGCAUUCGAACUGUUUUCCUGGGAUUUCUCAUCUCGUUUCGUUUCACCUGCACCAUCGCGAGGAGCUCUCAAAGAAGGUUAAAGACUUAAAAAGGAAGUCUGCAAGCUUCCUUAAAAGUGUGUAACCCUGCAGUACACAGGGAAGGAUACCACAGGCCGUUUCUUUUUAUGAACAGUGCAAGAACAUUUGGAUGAUCUGUAAAGUGUAUCCAUAAUAUUGACUGCCGCACACUCUGAACGCCCGCAGCAGAUGUCACUAAUCAUCAUUGAUUGGCGAAGCGCUGCACCUGCACGGGUUUGGAAGAAUGCCGAAGAUUGAUAUCUUCCUCAUCACAGGAUCUUUGUUUUUUAUCCACAAUACCAAAUGCUCCGCUUAUUAUUGGUUUUAAACCGUACGCGAAUGUUUUGUGAAGCAAUGAAAUCGACUCGGAUUAGUGAUAGGUCGUUCGCGAACGCCGGCUCUAAGAGCCGAUUCUUUGUAGCGAACGAGCAGAGCCGAAUCUUCAGACGCAUGCAGGGGAGCCGGCUCCUCUACGGGAGCCGAGCCAGAAGAACCGAAUCUAUGAAAAGAGCCGGACUGCCAUCACUAAAAUGUAGAGCCGGAGCUUGAGCCGAAAGAGCCGAAUCAAUGGAAAGAGCCGGACUGCCCAUCACUAAUUUGGAUGAACGGCUAUUGCUCGCGGAAAUUUCGCACAUUAAAUACGGCGUGUAUGCAAUGCAUGACAUGCUGCAAACAGGCGAAUGACGCGGUCUAAUGUUUGCGUGUUUAAUUGGAAUAAGGAGUGCGCAAAGUAUACGAGCUUCAUCUGAACUGUCCCUUUCAGUGUUUCCCAUAAACAUCAAUAAUAUAAGGUACCAUUUAUUCAUGUAACAGGUUCUUGCAACGUCCUAUACCUGCUACGGUACUACAACGCAAGUUGCUUAAUGCCUGACAGUUAUUCAUGCAAACUGUUCAUAUCAAAUGCAAAUAUUUACGUUAGAUCUUCACUCACCUGACCCUAAUUACAGACUUUAAGGAUACGGGGAUACGCUAUUUUACGAACUUUAAAUCUCAUGGUAGGACACACCAUUAAUAUAUCAUUGGAGAAUAAAUCCUGGUCAUACAGCGUAAAGUUUUCAAGCACACAUUUUGUUGCUGAGCAAAUCGUAAGUGUGUGUGGUCGAAUGGCAACAGUAAUGCAUAGUGUCAAUUUUAUUGAGCACGGGGUUCAGCAUAAAUGUUUCCAUCUAAAGCUUUGUGCUUUAAGAUCUUCAGUUAGUUAUGCACAUGUAUAAAGUACGAAUGCAUCAACUUUUAAUUGUACUUUUCAAAUGAGACUUUAUUCCAGAUCUCAGUCAACUUCUUAUCCGAGCUCGGUCGCAUUGAACAUCUCAUCUAUUUAUCUGGAUUAUUUUCUCCUAAGGAUUUUUGCACUCUGACAAGAUUGUAGCAGCAAACGCAUUGUGCGGUGAUCAUGCUGAAUUUCUGACACUGUCAGAAAACUAUUGUAGGCUAUCUUGGACGCAAGACCAGGAAAACGUCCGUCUUUGAACUUCUCCCACCAUACGACACUGUACCACCGACGAAGAGCCACGAUCAUAGAAAUCGUGAUGAUUGUUUUACGAUGGAAAUCUUUCUUCUGGGAAAGCCAAAAAUUAUGCAGUUAUAAUUCUAAAUGAUAACUUUACAAGGAACUUUGUCUGGAAUUAGAAGCGUACAAUCUUCUUACUCUGCAUCCUCAAGAAAAUAGCGAAACCUGCAUCAACUUUACAUACAACCACAUUACACCGGCUGCUAGGAUUUAGAACAUCAUAACAGCGCGGCUGCUUACAUGAAGCAAGCUAUUUUUAAACUAUAUACAUGUUUUUACACAGACUAUGGAUAUGCAGUUCUAUAAGUGCUUUAUUUCAGUGCCUGCAUUACCAUCAGGGCUCUUUAUCGACUUCCAGGAACUCUAAUCGCAUACGGCUGCAAGGAUUUGAACAUGCAUAAUUGCUACAUGUACAAGAAUUGGCUUUCGUUAGCACUGGGCCGUGCACACUUGCCGCGUGCACGCAGGUCGUCACGUUUCACGUCCGCAGUCGUGUAUGGUGCGGUCUUCGAUCGUUUCUGGAUUGCCAGCGUGGCGUAGGAUCUUCAUUAAACAAAUAAUUCAGAACUUCUUAAGUGCAUAUCAUGUAAGACUGUUAGCACAAAACUGUCACGUUUAAUCAUGCUAUUAUGGUUAGUCAAAGUUUAAGCUGUAAACUUUCAUCUAGAUGGCUAUUACUUUCGGAGCACGUCCAUCUAUCAACUGCACAACCCUACUGAUACCGCUCCUCAGUUUUUGGGGGUUCUUAAUUUAUAUCGUAAACGGAGAAUUUUAUAUAAUCAUCUGUGUGUCAUGGCGAAGCAAGACAAGGCAACGGAUCCAAAUGCAAUGGUUUAUUUCUUAAAAACCCAAAAGUCCACAAAGCAGAACCAGAAUGAAGACCAGAAUACAGGACCAAAAAGUGAUGACAGCAAACUAUACUCAAGAAAGGACAACUGAAACACAAGGACUGUAUUCAUGUGGGUAAACAAGAUAUCAAGACACACCUGGGAAACAAUCUAGAACAAGGACCAACGAACUACAGACAUGGAUGACAUUAAAGAACUUCAAAUAAAGAGUACAAGACAGGGGAAACGCAAGACACAACAGUGACACCGUGCAAUCUUUAGCAUCAGUCAGAUCGUUUGUAACCUCUAAUCUUCUCCCUACUUUUAUAAUGACAAUAUAAAAGCAUGCAUACAUAAAUUGUCUCUCUUCAUCAGGAGCCGCGCUCCUAAUUUCACCGUAUGCAGGAAAACACUAUGACAUUCAAUUCAAUAAUGGCAAGCAAUAAUCAAGGUAUGUUUAAGCAAACUACUGGUGGUGGUGGUGUAUUUAACCAUGCUAAAUCAUGGCCCUUGCCAUUUAUAUCAUUCCUCACUCUGGCAUAACGUUGCUUUCUGUGGCCUUCGCGGCCUCUCUGCUAUCAAGCCUAACGUGGCAUCCUUCUACGGAUAUCCUCUACUGCUGAUAUUAUGAUUGACAUUUACGGACACGUUAAUGGUAUGUACCUUUUGUCAAUACUGGUGGUGGUGAAUCUUAUUGCAAGCUAACCUGUUGGCUUUUCCUACUGGGCAUAUCGUUGCCUUCCACGGCCUAUGCGGCCUAUCUAACCCUGGCAUAUCUUUGCCCUUCAUGGCCUACACAGCCUCUCUCAACACGGCAUAUCGUUGCCUUCUAUGGCCAUGCGGCCUUUCUCACUCGGCAUAUCGUUGCCUUCUAUGGCCUACGCGGCCUAUCUCUAUCUGGCAUAUCGUUGCCUUCUAUGGCCUACGCGGCCUAUCUCUAUCUGGCAUAUAUCUCUAUCUGGCAUAUCGUUGCCUUCUAUGGCCUACGCGGCCUAUUUCUCUGGCAUAUCGUUGCCUUCCAAAGGCCUACGUGGCCUUUUCUCACUAGGCAUAUCGUUGCUUUCUAUGGCCUACGCGGCCUAUCUCUGUCUGGCAUAUCGUUGCCUUCUAAAGCCUACGCGGCAUUUUCCCAUUAGGCAUAUCGUUGCCUUCUGUGGCCUGUGGGCCUAUCUCUGUCUGGCAUAUCGUUGCCUUCUAAAGCCUAUGUGGCUUUUUCCCACUAGGCAUAUCGUUGCCUUCUACGGCCCAUGCGGCCUAUCUCUCCAGCCUAUCUCUCUCUGGGGCAUAUCGCUGCCUUCUAUGGCCUAAGCGGUAAUCCCAUGGCCUCUUAUGGCAUCCUUCAAUGUCAGUAGAUAACAAUUUCUCUUAUCUGUUUCAGGAACCUCAAAGAAACACUGGUGGGUACCGAUCAUUGCGAUCAAUUUUUGGGGAUUAGAUUCUGGCCCGUCUUCAUCUUCAGACAGGAACCGCAAGAAUCCGUGACCCCCGGAUUUGAACUAUGGUCGGGGCCUACGCCAAAGAACUAUACUGUGUUACAUUCUAACCUUGGUUGCUAACUACUGUUAAAUAAACUCAUAUGUCAAGUCUUAACCUAUCUUCGAGUCUUUCUGGUAGAAAUGGUAGCUUUAGCGUAGCGUAGCGUAAGUUCUACCAGGAAACUCGAAUGUUACGUCAUUCAUGUCACAAGGCGCAAUCAAUCACCCCUGAUACUGAGAGUAUAUAAGCCUCGUACUCACCUGUCUUUGCGUUCGCAGAUACUGAUGCCAGCAUUAACAACCCACCCUCCCUACCACCAUCACCAGGUCGGUUCCGUCCAUACUCAAGGGGGAUUAGAUUCUGGCCCGUCUUCAUCUUCAGACAGGAACCGCAAGAAUCCGUGACCCCCGGAUUUGAACUAUGGUCGGGGCCUACGCCAAAGAACUAUACUGUGUUACAUUCUAACCUUGGUUGCUAACUACUGUUAAAUAAACUCAUAUGUCAAGUCUUAACCUA